rnacentral:tRNA from 1 species
AAUAUUGUGUCUGAAAAAGAUAUAAAUUGUAAAUUUAUAAAUAAGAAUUUAAAUUUCUUCUAUAUUA